GACACGGACGCCGGGACGCGCAAAGUCCACGCCGCGAGACAGCGACGCGGCGGCGGCGACCCCCGCACUGCCGCUGCGUCGUCGACUCGACGGCUCGGCAGCCGGAGUGCGCCGCACGCGCCGGAGGAAGAUCCCCGCAGUCUAGGGUGGUGGGUCCUCUGAGACGUGCUCCCAAGAGAAAUGAUGAGGUGAUGGACCAUGGAGAGGGACAUGCUCUUCUUGAUUGAACCCGUUUACCUGCUGCUGCUUCAUUGAGCUGGCAAGAUGAAGUAGAGAUUGGAAUCGCCGCGCUGAUUCCACGAGGUUGAAAUAGGUGGUGCUCUUUCAAUGUCAUGACCAUGUGGCAAACUUUUUUUUGAAAAAAAAAAUGUUUGCCAUAUGGUCCUGAUCGUUGCCCUCAUACCAGUUGGAUUGUUGGAAUACCCACUGCCACUCGAGGACACCCAGGAAACCGCCGCGUGCAGUAGCCAUCCACCUCACCGGGCCAUCUGAAUCAUCAGCCACGCUGUUCGUCCAUGGUGUGUAACUGAGUGUUGGACCAGUAUUGACUUUGAAAUUAAAAGAGAGAAGAGUCUGGUUUACAUCAGUUGUAGCUGAGUUCCAAAUUCCGGCUUGUUGGGCUCUUGCGUGUGUGACUUGAUUGUCUCACAUGAACUGAGCUCAAGUGAACAGAUAGACGUGAUUCUCUGUGUGCCAAUUUGCCGAGGAGAUGCUUCGGCAUCUUACGACGAUGGCAAUUUGCCACGAGUUUGCACUUAGUAGAGUGAGCUGCCUGGACUACUAGUUCUGUAAUUCAUCUUCAGAUCUUGAGAAAUGGUACUUCCAUGUGAAUUGGAUUACACCGUGCCGCUGA